GAGUGGGGUGCAUGCAUGCCCACACUAGUAAACUGAAUCAUUACUUCAGAUUCUAAACACAAUCCAAAUUGCUAACAGCUAUUUGGCAAUUUAGGGCCUCUGCGUACUACAAAAGGGUACCAAGGGAAAGUUACAGCCCAUGCAGUGGAAAAACUGAAGUAUUUAGGAAUCAGUUGAAUGCAGUAAUGCAUACUGAGAAACAAAUGAGAGUCAAGACAAUGACAGGGAGGAAAAUCAGCAACUUGGGGAGUCUGUUGGAUCUGGAAGUGUAGUUUGCAAAUCCUGAAGCCAAACUGAGCACUCAGAACUGGACAGACAUUUCAUAGUGUCAACAUGAACUGAUAGCCUUAGAGAGAAAGGCAAAGUAUUCUGUCCCUGGGUGUGCUUAUAGCUCCUGUUGAGUCUACAAGAGCCAUAUGCAUGAACCUGAAGUGCCUAGGAACCUGUGCCACUAAUCUACAGUAGGUUACACAGGAACACAAAAGAAAUCCGCUUUAGAAAUGUGAACAAACAGCAAACCUUUUGUAUCGCUGCAUACUUUAGGUGGAAGCAGAUGGAGGCCAACUCCCUCAAUGGGAACUAAAGGGAUUCAGCUCCUCACAGC